AUGAACGCUAGCUACAGGCUUAACACAUGCAAGUCGAGGGGAAACGACAUCGAAAGCUUGCUUUUGAUGGGCGUCGACCGGCGCACGGGUGAGUAACGCGUAUCCAACCUGCCCAUCACUUGGGAAUAACCUUGCGAAAGUAAGACUAAUACCCAAUGAUAUCCCACGAAGGCAUCGGAAUGGGAUUAAAGAUUUAUCGGUGAUGGAUGGGGAUGCGUCUGAUUAGCUUGUUGGCGGGGUAACGGCCCACCAAGGCAACGAUCAGUAGGGGUUCUGAGAGGAAGGUCCCCCACAUUGGAACUGAGACACGGUCCAAACUCCUACGGGAGGCAGCAGUGAGGAAUAUUGGUCAAUGGGCGAGAGCCUGAACCAGCCAAGUAGCGUGCAGGAAGACGGCCCUAUGGGUUGUAAACUGCCUUUAUAAGGGAAUAAAGUGGGUCACGUGUGACUUUUUGCAUGUACCUUAUGAAUAAGGACCGGCUAAUUCCGUG
rnacentral:rRNA from 1 species